GUUUGCUUACAAUCUUUUUGAGAGGAAAAAUGCAUUCCAGUGUUGUUUGUUUCAGUUGUUAGUUUCCAGUGCCAGUACUUUAAGAGAACCUCAGAAUGAAUGUGUUUUAAUUCAAUCUGCUAGGACAGAAGCUCUUCUGUGUGAUUUGUAUCCACCGGAGAUCUGUUUUUACCAAUACUAGUGCAUGAACUUUAUUGCAUCUAACUAGUGUCUGCAGUUUGAUUGGCUUAAGUGUCUCAUUAUCUGAUUUAACCCAUCAAGUUUGUAUCUACAAGGUUGUUUGAUAUGUCACGCUUGACAACUAGUUUUUGUUCUGUGUAUCUUGUGUUCUCACACAUGUUUACCUUGAUCUUGCAGUUUCAGCCAUGGGUAAGGGACGAGACCCACAUCAACAUUGUGGUCAUUGGCCAUGUCAACGAGCAGGGAGCGGAAGACGCAGCCAGUGACCAGCGAGUGCAUGGGUGGCGCAAGUGGCGACGAAGAGUGGCCAGAGACUACUAGUGGUGAGCGGCGACGGCGACCUCGAGACCAGCAAGUAGGCGAAAGCGAUCUCAUUGUGAAGUGGCUGAAUCGACUUAGGCGGUUUCUUCGAAAUUCUUGGAAAUGCUUUGGUAGUUUCUUUCGGCGAGAAACUGUUUCAUACUGAAGUUUACUGGUACAUGUGUGAUUUGCUACUGUUGUUUCAUUUGGGUUGGGUUGGUUCCAGUGGGGAGAUGUGCACGCAUACUGGCAGCAUGAGCUAGCAGCCAUGAUUGCCAGCCAGCCACCACCACAUAAAUGUAAUGCUUCUCCAACCAAGCAAUGUCAAACUUAGCUAGCUGGGUGGCCCUGACAUUCUUGGAACCGAGCAACCGAACUACCAUUCUGUAUUUUAUAAUAUGUUCCUGUUAUGCAUGACAUAGGCUUGAUCAAAUCUUACUCUUUUAAUCACAAUAGCAUAGCAGUAACAUGUUAUAACGUUGGAUCAAGAAAAGCAUAUGUAAUAAGUUCUCUCAUGUUUAAUUACCUCAAUUGUCAAGCAGUGUUAGGUGUUGUAUACAUUUACUGCUAUCAAUCGACUACAGUAGUCAUCUUGAUGCUUGGGACUUGCAUAUAUUCUACUGCACUUGAAACAUCAACAAGUAUUUUUCCUUGUUUUUUGGAACAAUUGGUGAACUUCAUAUUCUUGAAUAAAUGCAUUACUAUUCGGUAUAGUUCUAGGCGGCUCUUUGUAUUUUACAGCUCCUUAUCAUGUCCCUCUAAUAUUUUUUUAGGUGGCCAUGAACUCAGUAAAUCAUCAGGAAAUGCCUUUGUGCAGCUCACCUAUGGCCUUGUUUGUCCUGCAGGUUAGUGAGCAGCAUUAGGAGGAGGAGCUCAAGCAGGCCACCAUGAUGCACCCCCGCAGUAGCAGGUGUAGAUGCUGGGCUUUCUUGCUUCUUCAUGAGCAUCAGGACAAAGAAGUCGGUGGAAGAGUAGUUCUAGCUCAUUGGAGCUAGUUCUGAGAGUAAUGAAGCCCUUUAUGCUGCUCCUAUUUGUAUGUGUGUUAUAUGAUGUAGCAGAAUCUGGCUCAUGUGAUUAUGCACUUGUGGAGCUUGUUAUCUGAUUGUAAACUUGAUGCUAUCACAUUUGUAUGUGUGUUAUUAUAUGAUGUAACACUUUGAUGGUUGAUAAUAUUUGAAAUAUUUCA